rnacentral:tRNA from 1 species
GAGGGUAUAGCUCAGUGGUAGAGUGCACGCAUGGCAUUCAGAAGGUCCUGGAUUCAAUCCCCAGUACCUCCA